AACCUCAAUAGAAAAAGAACAUAGUGGAUUGCCAUGUCUCUACAGUUUGCUCCAGUGUUGUUAUCAAUAAGAUCAUCCUUAUCCUGUCGCUGUAUAAACAGACCAUUUCUCCCACUUUUCUCGACAUUGUUCUUGAGUCCUUAUCUUAUGGUACAUUACAUUAGUAUU